CAGGAGGAGGAAGCCGCAGCGGUUCCGGGCACAGAUCGCGUUGCCCGGAGCCUGCAGCCGCCGCCGGCAGAAGCGUCCGGCGGAGGGGCCGGACCGGAGGGGCGGCGCUGGGAAGAUCUGCAGUCGCCCAGAGAACUGAGCUGGGGCCGAGCCCGUUGGCCUGGGUCGGCGUGCCCUGUGGAUGGGCGUGGUACAGAUUUGCUGCUAGCACAGACUUAGCUCCCUCUGCCGUAGUUUGCCACGUGGCUGGAGGCACCGCAGCAAGAGAGGACCUGUGAGAGCUCGUCUUGCCUUGGGGGAACAUGCAGCGCGGUGGCAUCACUGUUGAGAACCCCUACGCCAGCGUGAAUAUUCCGCGAGGUCAGCUCGAGAACAGCUUCAUUAAGCGCUACCUGGGGGAGGAGCAGCCCUCGCCCACUGUCAUUGUUAAUCCUGGGGCCGUGCCCACCUACCCAGCCCCAGAGCAGCUGAAUGGGGCCAGUAAAUCGGUGCCACUGGAUAGUUGGGAUGGUUCAAAAGUCCUGACGCGGGAGUCCUGGGCCCAGCAGUAUAACCCUUACGCCAGCCUGAAGCUGCUGAACGGCGCUUCCUCCGCCCCGCUCUACACCAUCGAGCUAGACAAGCACCAGAAGAGUCCUGAGGUGGGCACGGACAGUGGCUGCUGCUGCUGUAAGUACUGCCCCUGCUGCCGGAAAUGCGGCUGUGUCGUCUCCUAACCCCACGAGCUCUGACCCCUGGCCACACCCAGGCUGUCGGCCUGAGCCAGCCUCCUUAAGGAGCUGGGAUCCUGCUGGUAGAACUGCAGCCAGCGGGCUGGGAUGGACAGCCCCUGAGCUAUGGUGCCCAUCCUAGCAGGAACUGUGGGGCGCCUCUGGGGGCGAGCGGAGCCAACGGCAGCCUUGCAGUCUCCUGAGACUCUGAGUGAUCUUUGGCUCUCUCGGGGCGUGGGGAGGGGGUGUGACUAUAUUUGCCCUGGUGGCAGGGCGGCUUUCUAGACCUUGUUUAUCCUACGGAAAGUGAGCUCAGGUGCCAUGGUGAUGGGCACGUAGCAGUGAUGUGCUGCCAGGAUCGUGGCCAGGCCUCGGGGGAGUUUCAAGACAUGCUGAUGAAGCCUGGAGUGCCUCGUGCAGUGCCCUGUGGUGGAAACCCGACCGCUUGCUCCCACUUACUGUCUGGCUGGGAAACAGCCCUGAUGCAACAGGCCGUGCAGCUGUGCUGACCCCCACGCAGACAAAGACAUGCCCCGGUUUCACCCAUUGGAGAAGCAAGGGGGGGCCUGAGCAGUGUUUCAUGGGUGCUUGUGGAUUCUCACUGCCCCUCCCCGUGGCUGAGGCAUGCUGGGAACAGUCUCGUUUAGCUGCAAAGGCUGCGUGCCUCUUGAUCGUGCGGGGAAGUGGCCUUGCAAACCAAGGCCUUGUCUACAUACAACAGUCAUGGUUCAUGUGGUACAAUUCUCUAGUGUGGCUGCAGCUAGACCGAGGGAAAGGUGCUCAGACUGGUCUAGCAUCUGGUAGGGGAAGGGAAUGAGCUCUACUGGUAUGAAGCACCUGGAUCCUGCUCUAGCUGUGUCCACGCUAGGACUUGGGCUGGUAGAACGGGGUAGGGAACGCUCACCCCUGACCCACACGGCUGAGAGGUACAAACUCAGUUUGCUAAGCAGGCUGGAAUGAGGAUCCUGCCAGUCCCUGCCUGCUCGCCCUCUGGACAAAAGAAGGAAACACACCCAGGGCAAACAAACAAACCAAGCAGCUUGGAGAAUGUGCUGGGCUCUGUUCUGGGGAUGUGCCAUGGCUGGACACACUGGCCUCUGGGUCUGAACUCACAGUGGGAGGAGACUGUUCUGGCACCUCACCCCCCUCGGUGCUGGCAGGAGCUGCUUUCCAGGGCUUGGGUGGCCUGCUGUCCCUGCAGUGCAGGCAGGGGCUGUGCCCUUGUACCCCCAGCUUGGUCUGGAGAGGGGGCAGCAGGCCAGCCCUGCUCUACGUGAGCAGCAGGGCCUGGCCAGUGCCCGGCGGUUGGUGUUAGUGCCAGUGCUGCUGUGGGACUAGUGCAGGCUGCAGAGGAGGGUUCAGAAUGAAAUGGGGACGGGAGGGGAAGGGAAGGAGUGGGACAAGGGGUGUGGAGUCCUCUAGGUCCCAGUCAGCUGUGCAGGACCUGCCAGACUCCAAGCCACUGGGGUUGUCAGAUGGCCAGGAAUAGGGUGUAAUGAAGUUAUUGGGUCUGCUCCCUUGGGGGAGUUUCUAAAGCAGAAGCCGCAGCCCUGAUGUGGGGGGCAGGGCCAUGGGGAGUAGCGGUGCUGUCCUCUGCACGGGCAGAGGGGCGCCAGCUGGUUGGGUAAUGAGCAAGGGGAAUGAGACAGCACCUCUCUGCCCUUUACGCCGGGUGCCCCUUCCCAUGCACUGCAGCUGGCUGAUUGCUGCUCAGUCCCUCUGCAGCUUGUCAGUGUCGCCCCAGACUUGGCUUUCCUGCCAGGUGUCAUGCGUGCUCUGUGCAAGGCCAAGUGGUUUGCAUGUGAAACCUGAACCAGACCCACUGUUGUCCUUCAUAAACAGCCCCAUGCAGCGCUGGUGCCGGCUCCGACCUGCCUCACAGGUGAGUUUCUGCCCUAGACAAGGGGUGUUUCUCUUGCAGCAGCUGCACUGUGUAAGUGCUGGCACAGCCGGGGCCCAGGGGGCUUGGGGCACAGUGGUAAAACUCCCUGAGCCCUGUGCUAGCGCUUACCCCAUUGCUAGACCUGCUGCAUCACUCCUCGAGAGCAGCCGGGCCACUGUCUCUGGGGCAGGUGCCCUGACUGAGUAGUGCAGCAGGACGGGGCAGGGACCAUGCCCAGGGUCCUGUGUGCAGAGAUUCUAACCGUUGUGUAGCUGGGUAGAAUUCAGCUUUUAUUUGUCUGUGAUCUCUACGGAGAGUAUCAAAGUUUAUUUUUAAGAAUAUUUUUAGUUUUAUUGAUUUCAGUUUUCACAGUAGGGGAAGUUAUUGGAGAGUCAGAAAAUGGAGGGUCGGACAAUUAUUUAAAGACCGUAGACGAUGAUAUUCAAAAAGUUAAAGAUUUAAAACCAUUAAAACACAAACUCUCAAAGUAUACAAAGGAAGUAGGCAAUGUAAGAAAAAUGCUGCUUUGAUAUAAGGCGAUCUGUAAAUUUGGGGUAUUCUCAAUGGAAACAGUUUUUGGUCAUUUGGGUGUGUAUGGUGAAAUCGAUGUUCAUGGAUAUUUACCGAUAAAAGUCGAAUCCUUCCAACCCUACCUUGAUGAUUAUAAAGAAAACCUUCCCCGUGAGGGCUCGCUGUAAGACAGCCUGAAACAAUCGUUCUGAGAGGUGUGAACAGCCCGGCCCACCCUCUUGAUGUGUGUUGACUCAAACCUAAUGAUGUCAGCAUUUUAACUAUAUCACUGCUGAUCCCUGUAGCAGAAACUCACGGCUCAUUUUUGCUCACUCUAACCCUAGCUGCCUCCCAGACAUCCCCAGGUACCAAAAGCUCCCACUGUCUCCUGCCCAGCUGCCAGAACUUCCCCCUGCCAACAUCCAGCCCAGAACUCUGCAGCAGGGGACAGUGUCAGCUCCAUGGCCUGGAAUGUCACUGGGACGCUGGGCGUACAGUCCAGGGGGGUGGGGUUCCAUGGGUGGGACCAAGGAGCCAUGCUGCAGAGCUCCAGCUCGUUGUGGCCUUCACCCAAGUGCAUUGAGCCAUGAUUGCCCGCAAGGAGUGACCCAGGAGCCCGUCUGCCUCUUGUCCCUCAGCUGCGUUGCUCCCCCCUUGAGGUGAUCUAGAGCAAUAGGCCAGUUGUACUCCAACUAGUGCCUCCAAAGGCCAAUUUGUCCCUUGCCAGGCGAGUGUGAACGCUCCGUGCAUCGUCGCCGGUCCCUGGAUCACAAGCUGCAGUGUAAAGAGCGUUGCAUGGGGUGUCCAGCCCCCAGCUCUGAUGGAAGCUGCAGCGUGUGCCUCCCAUAGACCCCCAAGUGAGGCCUGUGGCUUGCCUGCCGGGGUGCCAUGCAGCCGCGUAGCCAGGACUGGAUGCUGCUGCUGCCAGCUCUGCAUGGAUUCAAUGGGCAUUGUGUGCACAUGGCUACAGGACUGCCCUGGCUGGGACAGCGGCAGAGGUUCUGUCUAUAACACGGCUGUGGGAGGGCCCAGUUCCCAGCAGGGCUCACCCUGGCGUUUCCUGGUGCCCCUGUCACUGUUGCUGUGAAUAAAGUAAUUUGACCAGUGUCCA